rnacentral:rRNA from 1 species
GACAAGACGGUGGAGCAUGUGGUUUAAUUCGAAGCAACGCGAAGAACCUUACCAGGCCUUGACAUGCAGAGAACUUUCCAGAGAUGGAUUGGUGCCUUCGGGAACUCUGACACAGGUGCUGCAUGGCUGUCGUCGGCUCGUGUCGUGAGAUGUUGGGUUAAGUCCCGUAACGAGCGCAACCCUUGUCCUUAGUUACCAGCACGGUUAUGGUGGGCACUCUAAGGAGACUGCCGGUGACAAACCGGAGGAAGGUGGGGAUGACGUCAAGUCAUCAUGGCCCUUACGGCCUGGGCUACACACGUGCUACAAUGGUCGGUACAAAGGGUUGCCAAGCCGCGAGGUGGAGCUAAUCCCAUAAAACCGAUCGUAGUCCGGAUCGCAGUCUGCAACUCGACUGCGUGAAGUCGGAAUCGCUAGUAAUCGUGAAUCAGAAUGUCACGGUGAAUACGUUCCCGGGUCUU